rnacentral:pre_miRNA from 1 species
CGUGCACCAGUGGGGUCCCUCGGCCUGGCCUGCACCCUCUGGCAAUCCAGGACCCCUCGGGGAUGUCAGAGACCAGGUUUUGACCUGAUCCUGCAGGCCAGGCCGAGGGACCCCACUGGUGCACG